rnacentral:lncRNA from 1 species
GAUUUACAAUGUUGUGCCAAUUUCUGCUAUACAGCAAAGUGACUCAGUCAUAUAUAUAUACACAUAUAUAUGUAUAUACACACAUUAUUUUUCUCAUAUAAUCUUCCAUCAUGUUCUAUCCCGGGAAAUUGGAUAUAGUUCCCUGUGCUAUACAGUAGGACCUUGCUGUUUAUCCAUUCUAAAUGUAGCAGUUUGCAUCUACUAACCCCAAACUCCCCAUCCAUUCCACUUCAUUUCCCCACCCCCUUGGCUACCACAAGUCUGUUCUCUAUGUCUGUGAGUCUGUUUACUAUUUUUUAAAGAUAAAAGGAGGAUCUCUAAAAGAUAAUAUAGACAUCAAAGUACUAAGUGUCCAUAAUGUGAAGGCUCAUUGUGUUUCUGACAUUCUGUUUUACUAUGUCUGAGUUUGAAGAACAAUGAUGAAAAGCUUUCCUCUCUCUGGGUACAACACUCAAAAGGGCAGUAAUUACCACAAGGGAAGAAAGACAUGCUUGUUUCUGGCAUUUUGCCAUUAUUAAUUUGUCCCAGGACAAUUUUGUACCAAGUGCUUUCUAUUCUUUUUUUAACACGGAUAACCACAUUUGCACAGUUAGCAAUUGUUUUUGCAAUGUUAACAAGCAAGAAGAAUCUGGUCCAAUAUGGAGUUCCAUUUUUACAGGUUUCUAUUUAUUUAAAUUGUCAAAGGACACAGUUGGUAAAGAGACAAACCCUUUAAAAAUCAUUAUUUUUCACACCAAAAUCAUGUUAUAUAUAUAUAUAUUAGUGAUUUAUUAUAUUUUUCUCAACAAUCUCAUGUGUUGCUACUUGGGUAAUUUGUUAGCAUGAUUUUUUCUUCUCCUACAUGUAAGCACCUUCAUGAAAAAUAAUUCCUUUCUGUUGACAACAAAUAUGAUGAUGUGGCUGUCAUGUGAAUCAGUGAUAUACUAGAAAGUUUUGAAGUUUAGACAAAAUGUUUCUCCAAAUUAUUACAAAUACUUCAGGAAAAAAUGCUUUUUAAACUUUGUCCAAAGCUCUUUGUAAGUAGCCAUGUUUCCCCCAAUCAAGUUGUUAUGGGAAGAAUCAGGACAAAGCGUAAGAGACUUUCUAUAACUGUUAAAUAUUUAAUUAUAUUGAACAUGGCAUUUAAGUAUGGAUUUUGAUGACUCUGAGAGAGCCAUUAAAAGACUGGAAUCACAGCUAUAAAUUCUAUCAAACUAUUGACCAAUAGGUCCACCAACAUAUCAUAGGCUUACAGUAUUCUCUGGAGGAAUCGUUUCCAGAAAAAAGGUAAACUUAAGCAGGUAUCUCAAAUGCAUAAAAACUUCGAUUUAGUAAACAAUUUACUACAUACACUCAUAAAGAACGUAUUACAUCAAAUACAAAUUUACAUGUUGCUUGUGAUGGUUUUUUUGUGUGUGUUAACUUGGCUAGGCUAUAGUCCUCAGCUACUGAAUCAAAUAGUAAUCUAGAUGUUAUUGUGAAAGUAUUGUGUAGAUGUGAUUGAAGUCCAUGACUUUGAGUGGGGAGAUUAUGGGUUAGCCUGCUUUAACUAGUUGAAAGGGAGAGCUGAAAAUCCCUUGAGAAAAGAAAUUUCCCCUUUGGAAAGAAAACACAGCAAGCACCUGAAAGUCCUAGUCUGCCCUUCCCAGCAGCAAGCCUUAGAGAUUUCAGACUUACCAAGCUAGUCUACAUAAUUGGGUGAGCCAGUUCUUUGCAUUAAAUAUCUUAAUACAUGUCUGCUGGGUUUGCUUUUCUGGCUGAAGCUAGUAACAACAAGACUAUAGGAAGGCAUUCAAGCUAAGUAUAGAAUCAACAGGAUUUAACAUACUUUUAGCUCUCAGCUGUAGAAUCAUGGGACAUUUUUCCUUCAAUGAUUAUAUUAUUUGUAUGUUAUUUGAAGUAUGGUAGAAGAAUAGGUUAUUGCAUUUUGUGAUGGGAAGAAAAAAUAUCACAACUAUCUAUUGGUUGCAUGACACAGGAGACAGCUAAUAAUAUUCAACUUCAUUUUGAGCAUGUUUCAGAUCAAAUGGUAUCAUUCUUAUUAAACAAGAUCUUGGAGUAACUAAAAUAAUUGUGGAAAUAGUUAAGGACAUGGAGAUACUCCUUGACAGAGCAAGAAUUCAAAAUGGUUUAGAAAAAAAUUGUAGAAGUAAUGUUAAGAAGAGUAAGAUGGUUUGGGCAGAGGAAAACUGAACUGGAUAAUAACUGUUGUGUGGGACAUGAUUUUACAAGCAUGUACCAUGAGCAGCAAAUUUAAGUAAAAAGGAUGAGGGGAGGGCAGUGAGAUGGUUGAAAGAGAAACAUAAAAUCAAUUAAGUUGCUUUGUUAUGCAACAAAAUGCUCUCUGAAGAGUGGUCUUCAAACUUUUCUUGAAAAAGGUGUUAAAAAUGCAGUUUCCUGUGCCCCACCUUCAGAUUCUUAUUCAGCAUACAUGUAGUAGGCACAGAAAUCCUGUUUUUUAAGAGAAUGCCAUUAAUACUUCUGAUGCAACUAGUACAACGAUUAUACUUGAAGAUUCAUUGCUUCAAACUCUGCAAUUAUUUUUGAGUUGGAAAGAAAAGUGUACAAACUGCACUUAACUUUUAAUAUCUUUUCAUAGGAUUAUUAUUACUCUUA